AACGAAUCCGCGAUUGCGCUGCGCUCCAAGCUCAUGAACUGCGUUCGGACAGGGGCAGAACUGGCAGAAGGUUAAAAAUUGGAGGAGAAAUCUUUCCGGCCGCGGAAAGUAACGGGCUUCCUUUGCUGAGCUCUGACGUCGCUAUUUUAUUUAAAAAAAAUUGAAAACAAUUUGUAAAUACAUUUCAAAGUAUGUACAAUAACAAUUUUUUAUUCCCAUAAAAAA